CUUUAGUCACUACGUAGUUUCAAGUUACUUUAUUUUAGGGAUAACUAAGUACCAGAACAACCCCCCCUACCCCCCCAAAAAAAAUGUAGCCUUGGAAAGAGGAUCUUCAAAAAGUUGCUCGGAAAAAAUCCCUUGCCUGAUCUACUAGUCUAGAUAUGUACAUUACAUAUAUUUUUUAUAUUCUUUUAACAAUUGUUAAAAUCCAAAGCAGUUACUGAGAGACAUCAUCAUGCUUACUCUGCAGUUACUCUGACUCCCACACUGUCUCCAGCAGAAAGCACACUACAGAUAUACACUCAAGAAUCACACAAAGGCAGGCAUACAAAUGCUCAUGGAGACUCACAGAGACUCCUCUCUCUCUCUCUCCCUUCGCUCCCCACCCCCCCCAUCUCUCUUUCUCUGUCUCUGUCUCUUUCUCCCUCAACCUUAUAUAUACUCAUACCAUUCCCCAGCCCUCUACUUUCCCAACCCCCAAAUCAUGAAGACCAAACACACAUACACACAACACACACACACACACACACACACACACGCACACACACACGCACACACGAGGUGUGGCCAUAGAGAAACCCACUUCCUCCAUUGGUAUCAUAUACAGUGCUAAUUUCAGGGGGGCGCUUUGACCUGUAAGCCGCUGACCAGACUUCAAUGCUGGCUGCCCUCUAGGCUUCCUGUAGCUCGCUUGCCCUCAUUGGAGGCUGAUAUAUGAAUAUGCAAUAGCUAUUUCCCCAGAUCCCUUCCUUCUUCCUUCUUUUUGGUUUCUCACUCAGCCGCCAGGCGGAAGCGAAGAGCUGCACUUUCCAAUUGCUCUAAGAGCGCGGCUGUCUGGGGACUGGGAGGAGGUGGAGGAAGAGGAGACCGAGAAAGAGACGAAAGAGUGCGAGAGGGAGAGAGGGUGGCCUCGGGAGAGGAAAGGGUGUUUUGGUGGGUGGUGGUUAGAGGGAACCACCGCCGCUGCCCCGGCCAAUCAGAGAGAAGCGGAAAGAGGCCAAGUACGCAGCCCAGCGCUAGUAUCGCCAGCCCGAUCUGCAGAGCGGAGCCAGACCCAAAAAGGGGGCGGGGGGGGGGGGAAGGGGGGGGAGAGAGAGAAAAAGGAAAAAGAGAGGCGAGGGAAAAAAAGAGAGACAGCAUUAUACACACAUAUAUAACCCAGAGAGUAGCCUAACUGAAAACGAAACGAAACGAAAGACACCCCCUUCCCCCCAAAAAAACCCCCAGUAACAGUAACUCCCUCCCCCCCAUCAAAAUAAAACAACAACAAAACAAACAAAAACAAACAAACAAAAAAAAAACAACCGACCACGAGCUCAGCCAGUCCUGGACAGAGUUCAAGUCAACCACCAAAAACUACUUUCCAGCACUGCAGUGAAAGAGGAAGAAAGCCUGGAAAUUCGGAGGGACUGAAGGGGAGGGGAGGGGUCUACCCACUGACUUUGACUUUUACCGCCUUUUCCUCUCUGACCAAAAACUCUCUUCCUGUUGUGAUAUUGUAGAAAUAAUAAUAAUAAAUAAUGGUUGUCUGCUACUGG
rnacentral:lncRNA from 1 species